GAUGAACGCUGGCGGCGUGCCUAAUACAUGCAAGUCGAGCGAAUGGAUUAAGAGCUUGCUCUUAUGAAGUUAGCGGCGGACGGGUGAGUAACACGUGGGUAACCUGCCCAUAAGACUGGGAUAACUCCGGGAAACCGGGGCUAAUACCGGAUAACAUUUUGAACCGCAUGGUUCGAAAUUGAAAGGCGGCUUCGGCUGUCACUUAUGGAUUGACCCGCGUCGCAUUAGCUAGUUGGUGAGGUAAUGGCUCACCAAGGCAACGAUGCGUAGCCGACCUGAGAGGGUGAUCGGCCACACUGGGACUGAGACACGGCCCAGACUCCUACGGGAGGCAGCAGUAGGGAAUCUUCCGCAAUGGACGAAAGUCUGACGGAGCAACGCCGCGUGAGUGAUGAAGGCUUUCGGGUCGUAAAACUCUGUUGUUAGGGAAGAACAAGUGCUAGUUGAAUAAGCUGACACCUUGACGGUACCUAACCAGAAAGCCACGGCUAACUACGUGCCAGCAGCCGCGGUAA
rnacentral:rRNA from 1 species